rnacentral:rRNA from 1 species
CGAGCACGCGCGUGUGGCAUAUCAAUAAGCGGAGGAAAAGAAACUAACAAGGAUUCCCUUAGUAACGGCGAGUGAAGCGGGAAGAGCUCAAAUUUGAAAUCUUCAAGGUUCUACCUUGACGAAUUGUAGUUUAUAGAAGUGUUUUCUGUUAGUGGAGUGGCAAAAGUUCUUUGGAAUAGGACAUCAUAGAGGGUGAGAAUCCCGUAUUUGGUCAUUCCUCCUAGCGUUGUGAUACACUUUCAACGAGUCGGAUUGUUUGGGAAUGCAGUCCAAAAUGGGUGGUAAAUUUCAUCUAAGGCUAAAUAUUGGCGAGAGACCGAUAGCGAACAAGUACCGUGAGGGAAAGAUGAAAAGAACUUUGAAAAGAGAGUUAAACAGUACGUGAAAUUGUCAAAAGGGAAGCGUUUGACACCAGUGUUGUUAUUUCCGAAAAUCAAUUACGAAUGUUUUGUUUUUGAGGAGUUAUGACUUCAUCGGCUUGCUCCUUUCUUUACGAAACUUUCUUAAUGCACUUUUCGGUUAACAAGUCAACAUCAAUUUCUUUUGUUGUAAAAGGGUAUGAGGAAGGUGGCUUUCUUUUCGGAGAAAGUGUUUAUAGCCUUGUGCCUCUGACAAUCGGAGAGAUUGAGGUCUGCAGCGUAGAUCCUUCGGGGUUAGAUACGUUUGUGCUAAGUUAUAGCUUUUCAUAGACAACUUGUUGACUAUGUUUAGUCUUGUAGCUUACUCGCUGACGCUAUUUUACCUACGCUUAGGAUGUUGAACUCUAUCACACACAG